AACGCACCUUGCACUCUUUGGUAUUCCGAAGAGUAUGCUUGUUUGAGUAUCAUUAAAUUCUCAAACCACUACUUGGUUUUAUAUCAAGUCAGUGGCUUUGGAUGUGGAGGUUGCAGGCUUCUUGUAAAGUCUGCUCUUCUUAAAAGCAUUAGUGGUUAUUGAUUCCACUUCUUGGUGUGAUAAUAUCUACGCCUUGUAAGAACGGAUCUAAUGUAGCUGCUCUCAAACCGUCUUUAUUGACAAUUUGAACCAUUUGAUCUCAAAUCAAGUAGGACUACCCGCUGAACUUAA
rnacentral:misc_RNA from 1 species